rnacentral:misc_RNA from 1 species
GGCACAAGUGGGAUGUUAUGGUACAUACACAUUAUCCGAUAGUUUGUGUUUAAUGGCUGCACAUUUUGUGUUGUGCUCUUCAGAUUGCUAAUAUUUACAAGCUCAUAAUGUGAAUGCUCAAUUACUCAUCCAGUCACCUUUUGUGUUUGUUUGUCAGCAAUACAUGUAGACAUUUCAUAACUACGUUGUAUAUGAAGAAGUUAUAUGAUAUUCCUUUCUCAUUAAAGUGCACCCUUUGGGUUACACUUUUUUGCUCUUCGUUUGCAUAAGUUGGCUAUAAUUUCUUACUUUUUAGGUUUAUUUCAUUUCUAUUUAUUUAUUUUCCAUAUGCAGGUGGACUUGUUCUUCUACA